rnacentral:rRNA from 1 species
GUGCCAGCCGCCGCGGUAAUACGUAGGGUGCGAGCGUUAAUCGGAAUUACUGGGCGUAAAGCGUGCGCAGGCGGUUGUGUAAGACAGACGUGAAAUCCCCGGGCUUAACCUGGGAACUGCGUUUGUGACUGCACGGCUAGAGUACGGCAGAGGGGGGUAGAAUUCCACGUGUAGCAGUGAAAUGCGUAGAGAUGUGGAGGAAUACCGAUGGCGAAGGCAGCCCCCUGGGUCGAUACUGACGCUCAUGCACGAAAGCGUGGGGAGCAAACAGGAUUAGAUACCCUGGUAGUCC